rnacentral:rRNA from 1 species
GAUGAACGCUGGCGGCGUGCCUAAUACAUGCAAGUCGAGCGAAUGGACGAGAAGCUUGCUUCUCUGAUGUUAGCGGCGGACGGGUGAGUAACACGUGGAUAACCUACCUAUAAGACUGGGAUAACUUCGGGAAACCGUAGCUAAUACCGGAUAAUAUUUUGAACCGCAUGGUUCAAAAGUGAAAGACGGUCUUGCUGUCACUUAUAGAUGGAUCCGCGCUGCAUUAGCUAGUUGGUAAGGUAACGGCUUACCAAGGCAACGAUGCAUAGCCGACCUGAGAGGGUGAUCGGCCACACUGGAACUGAGACACGGUCCAGACUCCUACGGGAGGCAGCAGUAGGGAAUCUUCCGCAAUGGGCGAAAGCCUGGCGGAGCAACGCCGCGUGAGUGAUGAAGGUCUUCGGAUCGUAAAACUCUGUUAUUAGGGAAGAACAUAUGUGUAAGUAACUGUGCACAUCUUGACGGUACCUAAUCAGAAAGCCACGGCUAACUACGUG